GACGGGACCCGCACAAGCGGUGGAUGAUGUGGUUUAAUUCGAUGCAACGCGAGAAACCUUACCCACCUUUGACAUGGCAGGAAUCCCGAAGAGAUUUGGGAGUGCUCGAAAGAGAACCUGCACACAGGUGCUGCAUGGCUGUCGUCAGCUCGUGCCGUGAGAUGUUGGGUUAAGUCCCGCAACGAGCGCAACCCUUGCCAUUAGUUGCUACGAAAGGGCACUCUAAUGGGACUGCCGGUGACAAACCGGAGGAAGGUGGGGAUGACGUCAAGUCCUCAUGGCCCUUAUAGGUGGGGCUACACACGUCAUACAAUGGCCGGUACAGAGGGUAGCCAACCCGCGAGGGGGAGCCAAUCCCACAAAGCCGGUCGUAGUCCGGAUCGCAGUCUGCAACUCGACUGCGUGAAGUCGGAAUCGCUAGUAAUCGCGGAUCAGCAUGUCGCGGUGAAUACGUUCCCGGGUCUU
rnacentral:rRNA from 1 species